UACGGGGGGGGCAAGCGUUGUCCGGAAUCACUGGGCGUAAAGGGCGCGUAGGCGGCGCGGGCAGUCAACGGUGAAAGCUCGGAGCUCAACUCCGAGUCGGCCGUCGAUACUCCCGUGCUUGAGCACUGUAGAGGCAGGUGGAAUUCCGGGUGUAGCGGUGGAAUGCGUAGAGAUCCGGAAGAACACCGGUGGCGAAGGCGGCCUGCUGGGCAGUAGCUGACGCUGAGGCGCGACAGCGUGGGGAGCAAACAGG
rnacentral:rRNA from 1 species